rnacentral:rRNA from 1 species
UACAGAGGGUGCAAGCGUUAAUCGGAAUUACUGGGCGUAAAGCGUGCGCAGGCGGUUUGCUAAGUCCGAUGUGAAAUCCCCGGGCUUAACCUGGGAACUGCAUUGGUGACUGGCAAGCUAGAGUGUGGCAGAGGGGGGUAGAAUUCCACGUGUAGCAGUGAAAUGCGUAGAGAUGUGGAGGAAUACCGAUGGCGAAGGCAGCCCCCUGGGCCAACACUGACGCUCAUGCACGAAAGCGUGGGGAGCAAACAGG